CCUACGGGAGGCAGCAGUGGGGAAUAUUGGACAAUGGGGGGAACCCUGAUCCAGCGACGCCGCGUGAGUGAAGAAGUAUUUCGGUAUGUAAAGCUCUAUCAGCAGGGAAGAAAGAAAUGACGGUACCUGACUAAGAAGCCCCGGCUAACUACGUGCCAGCAGCCGCGGUAAUACGUAGGGGGCAAGCGUUGUCCGGAUUUACUGGGUGUAAAGGGAGCGUAGACGGCGAUGCAAGUCUGAAGUGAAAGGCGGGGGCCCAACCCCCGGACUGCUUUGGAAACUGUAUGGCUGGAGUGCAGGCGAGGUAAGUGGAAUUCCUAGUGUAGCGGUGAAAUGCGUAGAUAUUAGGAGGAACACCAGUGGCAAAGGCGGCUUACUGGACUGCAACUGACGUUGAGGCCCGAAAGCGUGGGGAGCAAACAGGAUUAGAUACCCGUGUAGUC
rnacentral:rRNA from 1 species